rnacentral:rRNA from 1 species
CUGCAUUUUUUUACACAUGUGUUUUUCUUUUUUUUUGAAACUUUGCUUUGGUGGGCCCAUGGCCUGCCAGAGAUUAAACUCAACCAAAUUUUAUUUAAGUCAACUGAUUAACUAAUAGUCAAAACUUUCAACAACGGAUCUCUUGGUUCUCGCAUCGAUGAAGAACGCAGCGAAAUGCGAUAAGUAAUAUGAAUUGCAGAUAUUCGUGAAUCAUCGAAUCUUUGAACGCACAUUGCGCCCUUUGGUAUUCCAAAGGGCAUGCCUGUUUGAGCGUCAUUUCUCCCUCAAACCUUCGGGUUUGGUGUUGAGCGAUACGCUGGGUUUGCUUGAAAGAAAGGCGGAGUAUAAACUAAUGGAUAGGUUUUUUUCCACUCAUUGGUACAAACUCCAAAAUUCUUCCAAAUUCGACCUCAAAUCAGGUAGGACUACCCGCUGAACUUAAGCAUAUCAAUAAGCGGAGGAAAAGAAACCAACAGGGAUUGCCUUAGUAGCGGCGAGUGAAGCGGCAAAAGCUCAAAUUUGAAAUCUGGCACUUUCAGUGUCCGAGUUGUAAUUUGAAGAAGGUAUCUUUGGGUCUGGCUCUUGUCUAUGUUUCUUGGAACAGAACGUCACAAAGGGUGAGAAUCCCGUGCGAAGAAAUGUC